rnacentral:lncRNA from 1 species
GGCUAGACAAGGUCAUCAUAGAGCUCCAGUCCCCGGUUAACUCCAUCAAUAGGCAGCUCUCUAACCAGAACACCGUUAUACAAGGUCUUAAUCGUGAUCUCGAUAGUGCUAAUAAGAAGAUUAGAGAGUUAGAGUGCCGCUAAGUUAUCUAGAUUAGAUCUUAAGGUAGUGUAUCUUAGUUAUUCAUCAUUAGUUUCAAUUAGAUUCGGCUUAGAUUCAGUCCAUUAUUAGUCAGUUGUAAUAAAUGCCUCGAGAUUAAUAAAGAUUAUUAUUAUGUCUUGUGUGUCUCUACUUUAUUUUUAUGUAAGUAAGCAGAAAACAAGUAUGGGGGAGAUCCUCCGACAUGCCUAACACACUCCGACUACACCACUCCACGAUUCAGGUACGUACUCUGCAUGCUUUACACAUACAUAUACACAUAUCUUGGUUUGUUCAGAAUAUUAUCUCCGACAUGAUAAAUUAAAUUAAAAUAUUGCUAAUCAUGAUCAAUCUCACUCUGUGAUAUUUCCUGGAAACUUGCAAUUAUUAAAAAAUCAUUUAAAAACCCUGUGUUACUUAAGUCACUGUGGAAUAUGAGAUGGUAGAUUAUGAGUACCUUAUUCUUGAUAUCAUUGUUGCUUGGAGAAUUUAUUUCAAAAUCUUCAAAAAAAAUUCUAGCUGCCAUCCUCAGUGUUUUAUAUGCCUGCUAAACCUGAAAAUAUUAAUUAUGAUAAUUAUAAAAGUUAUCUGCCCUGUAUUGAGUUUGCUCAAAACGAGUUAGACCCUUGUUGAGAGAUUUAUCAUGCUCCUAAGAUCAAGACAUUUUUAUUCAGAAAGAUUCACUCUUCCGAAGUAUUAUUGCAUUAGAGGCAUGGGCUAUGCAAAAAUAUGAAUAUUUCGAGGAAAUAAAAAGGAGCAAGUGCUCGACAACCUCGCAGAAAAAAAUGGACAAGUGUCCGGCAGUAGAAUGAGGGGUACCACGGUAUCCACCUGAAAAAAAAGAGAGAAAAAAAAGAGCAAAAAUGAUAGCCCAUGGUCCCUCCAAUAAGCAAUAUGCCAAGAGUUGACAAGUUUUUAAUUUUCAAAGUCUUUGAUCUAAGAGUAUGGCAUUCCUCUCCUCGGAUCCCAUUUUGAUCACGCAAUAAAUGCAAGGUAAGAUUGCUUGAGAAUUUCUGCAAAUUAAAACAGCCUCAGUGAGAAAUAUAUAAAAGAUAAAUGAGCGAUCUGAGAGAACCUAUGAGGAUAAAGGAAUGCUAAAUUUCUUUUCAAAAAAUAUACAAAAGCUCCAAGUAACAGGGUUGAGAAGAAGAAAGGAUCUCUACUUUUGACCAUAUAUUUCCAUGACUAUAGUACAUAGUGGAUUUUUAUAACACCCUGCAGGUAUGAAAAGAAUGCUCUACAAUGUUUUAACCCCAGAUAUUUUUCUAGACCAUCCUUUUCUCGAGGACGAGUAAAAGCCUAAGUAUGGGGGUGUUUGUUGAUGGUUCUUAAGUAUCAAUUUUAAUCAUGAAAUAAAUAAGGAAAAGGACCAAUAUAUAAGCAACACCUAGAAUUAGGGUUUGAUCUCACAGAAUUCCAUGAGUUUUGUUGUUUACCUAUUUCUAUAGGGGGUUAUGAGGAAAUAUGAUAGAAAGUCCCACACGUCAGGAUUACAUAGAUAUAUUAACUUGUGCGCCAAUUUUCCUCGGUCUAGAAGGUUCCAGAAGCCACACGAACGAGCGGGAGGCCGAGCGGGCCCACACGCAGGGCGCCCACCCUCCUCUGCUGGCCAAUCAGCGCGAGACUCGCGGAUUAUGCUCCACCGCCUUUGAGGAUCAAGGAAAACCGUUCAAUCAAGGCCGGUUUAAUCCAACGACCCAGAUUAAUUUGAGAGGGCUAUAUAAGCAAGGCCCCUGGCCCCUGGAGAAAUCAAUCCCCAUUAUUCAUUACCAUAUUUUCUAGAGAGGAUUCACAGAGAGAGGUUCCUUUAGGGUUUCAACCUCAUAGGGCUUAGCAUCCAAUGUGAGAGUAGAAUUAGUCUACUAGAUUGAGAGAGAUAGAGUGGAGGUGU